rnacentral:sRNA from 1 species
GGCGUUCGAAUUGUAGUCUGGA